rnacentral:lncRNA from 1 species
CACACAAACAAACAACAAUAGGAUACGGACUGCCAAUCGCUGGUCUUACAUCCAUAUCCUAACACACACAAGAAGGUUAACAAACAAACAAGUUAAUAGGGAGUCAGGAACUCGAGCCUAAUAACUGUCAAGCAAACACACUCAAAAAGAAAAAAGGGUGCCCGGAGAGACCUCGUACGAUCUCCUGCCUACGUACCUCAUCUGGUAUGAGGAUCAGGGCAACGUAGUUCUCCUUAACAAGGGAGAAACUUUCUCCUAACC